GAUGAAGAACGUAGUGAAAUGCGAUAAGUAAUGUGAAUUGCGGAAUUCAGUGAAUCAUCGAAUCUUUGAACGCACAUUGCGCCCGUCAGUAUUCUGGCGGGCAUGCCUGUUCGAGCGUCAUUACGCCCCUCAAGUCCCCUGUGGACUUGGUGUUGGGGAUCGGCGAGGCUGGUUUUCCAGCACAGCCGUCCCUUAAAUUAAUUGGCGGUCUCGCCGUGGCCCUCCUCUGCGCAGUAGUAAAACACUCGCAACAGGAGCCCGGCGCGGUCCACUGCCGUAAAACCCCCCAACUUUUUAUAGUUGACCUCGAAUCAGGUAGGACUACCCGCUGAACUUAAGCAUAUCAAUAAGCGGAGGA
rnacentral:misc_RNA from 1 species